rnacentral:rRNA from 1 species
AGCGAACGCUGGCGGCAGGCCUAACACAUGCAAGUCGAACGAACUCUUCGGAGUUAGUGGCGGACGGGUGGGUAACACGUGGGAACGUGCCUUUAGGUUCGGAAUAACUCAGGGAAACUUGUGCUAAUACCGAAUGUGCCCUUCCGGGGAAAGAUUUAUCGCCUUUAGAGCGGCCCGCGUCCGAUUAGCUAGUUGGUGAGGUAAAGGCGCACCAAGGCGACGAUCAGUAGCUGGUCUGAGAGGAUGAUCAGCCACAUUGGGACUGAGACACGGCCCAAACUCCUACGGGAGGCAGCAGUGGGGAAUCUUGCGCAAUGGGCGAAAGCCUGACGCAGCCAUGCCGCGUGAAUGAUGAAGGUCUUAGGAUUGUAAAAUUCUUUCACCGGGGACGAUAAUGACGGUACCCGGAGAAGAAGCCCCGGCUAACUUCGUG